rnacentral:rRNA from 1 species
CGGGUAACGGGGAAUUAGGGUUCGAUUCCGGAGAGGGAGCCUGAGAAACGGCUACCACAUCCAAGGAAGGCAGCAGGCGCGCAAAUUACCCAAUCCCGACACGGGGAGGUAGUGACAAUAAAUAACAAUACAGGGCUCUUACGGGUCUUGUAAUUGGAAUGAGUACAAUUUAAAUCCCUUAACGAGGAACAAUUGGAGGGCAAGUCUGGUGCCAGCAGCCGCGGUAAUUCCAGCUCCAAUAGCGUAUAUUAAAGUUGUUGCAGUUAAAAAGCUCGUAGUUGAAUUUCGGGGUUCUACCGUCGGUCGGGCUAACAAGUCUGUACUGGUGUGUAGAACUUCUACCUUCUGGGGAACUAUCAUGUUAUUAAUUUAGCGUGGUAGGAAACCAGGACCUUUACCUUGAAAAAAUUAGAGUGUUCAAAGCAGGCUUACGUCUGAAUACAUUAGCAUGGAAUAAUAGAAUAGGACGGUGGUCCUGUUUUGUUGGUUUCUGAAUCACCGUAAUGAUUAAUAGGGAUAGUUGGGGGCAUUAGUAUUCAAUUGUCAGAGGUGAAAUUCUUGGAUUUAUUGAAGACUAACUUCUGCGAAAGCAUUUGCCAAGGAUGUUUUCAUUAAUCAAGAACGAAAGUUAGGGGAUCGAAGACGAUCAGAUACCGUCGUAGUCUUAACCAUAAACUAUGCCGACUAGGGAUCGGACGAUGUUAAAUUUUAUUGACUCGUUCGGCGCCUUACGG